rnacentral:tRNA from 1 species
UCCUCGGUAGUAUAGUGGUGAGUAUCCCCGCCUGUCACGCGGGAGACCGGGGUUCAAUUCCCCGGGGAGAGGAG